rnacentral:tRNA from 1 species
GAGGCUGUGGCUCAGUGGUAGAGCGCUCACAUAGCAUGUGCGAGGUGCUGGGUUCGAUUCUCAGUCCACA